AUGUUGCGCACGGCGAUCGCCGCGGCGGCGCGGCGGCGCAUCUCCCUUGCCCCGGCAAGAUUCGCGCACGAGCUCGCGCAGGCGCAGGCGCAGGCCCAGACGGCCGUCCCUGAUCGUCGUGAGCCGUCGUGGAUCCCGCUCUACAGGAGAAUCUCGAUACUGUACGGCAGGCCGCCGGGAAUGGUGGCGGCGGAGAUGGACAACUAUCUCCGCAAGAGGCGCCCGCUCUCGGCGGACCAGAUCGUCGCCUACGUCCGGAAGCUCCGCAAGUUCAAGAGCAACGCUUGCGCGCUCGAGUUGAUGGACUGGAUGGAAUCUCGUGGAGCAAAGUUGAUACCUGGGCAUCAAGAGCUGCGGCUUGGCCUGGUUUCAAAAGUGCAUGGGAUACAGGCAGCUGAGGAAUAUUUCUGGAGCCUUCCUGAUAAGUCAAAGAAAACUUAUUCAUCUUUGCUUAACUGCUGUACAACAACUGAGAAGCUGAAAGUCAUGGACAUGGUUCCAAAUACACUGUUGUACAACAACUUGAUGACUUUGUACCAAAAGGCGGGCCAGCCAGAGAAAAUCCCCUCCACAUUUGAAGCAAUGCGAGAAAGUGGUAUAAGUGCUAACAAUUUUACAUACUCCAUAUUGAUAGAAAGCUAUGUUACAAUGAAUGACCUGGAGGCUGCAGAGAAAGUCCUGGAAGAAUUGCAGAAGGUGGCUCCAGUUCACUGGUCCUUGUACACUAUGAUGGCAAACAAUUACCUCAAACAAGAGCUGUUUGGAAAGGCAGAAGUGGCUCUAAAGAAAGCUGAGGAAGUCAUGGAUAAAGCUGAGUUGUUGUCCUGGCAUUUCCUCAUCUAUUUGUAUGCCCGUUCUGGCAAUUCAACCGAGCUUAAGAGGAUCUGGGAGUCUUUGAAGUCCACAUUCAAGAAAUGCUCGAACAAAAGUUAUCUUGUAAUGCUUGAAGCUCUGAAUAUGAUUGAUGACUUUGAGUCUUUGCAGCAAAUCUUUCUGGAGUGGGAAUCGAGUCAUGGACAUUAUGACAUUAGGAUAACAAAUGUUAUGAUCAAAGCUUACCUUGAUAAGGGUAUGAUAGACGAAGCUGAGGCUAUCCGUCAGAGCACCAUGUCUCAGGGUCAUUGCAAUGUAAGGACGGUUUACAUAUUUGCCGAGUUCUAUUCGGACAGAUCUGACGUUACGGCGGCACUGGAGAUCUUGAGAGAUGCAAAGAAGAUGCUUACGACACACAAAUGGGUGCCAUCGGAAAAGCUUACGAGCAGAUUUCUGAAACACUAUGAAGAGUCAAAGGAUGUUGACGGUGUGGAGUCUUUCUGCGAGUGCCUUAGGAAGCUCGAUUGCCUUGAUGCAGAAGCUUAUGAGGGCAUGAUGCGGACCUAUAUAGCUGCAGGUAGAACCAACCCAUCCAUUGCUCAGCGCAUCGAAGAUGAUGGGAUUCACGUUGGCCCUGAGACGACGAAAUUGCUGGAGCGUGUCUCCGGCAAUUGA
rnacentral:rRNA from 1 species